GAUGUCUAAAAGCGAACAGGAAUCUACCUGAAUAGGACGCAAACCACCUUAGCCAAGUUUCAAUUUCAUCUUGCGCUUGAACCAAGCAUGAUCGUGCAUGUGUGUGCUACCGGUACACUAAUACUGCCAAACAAUCAAGCGGUUCGACUCGCAAAACCUCGCGCUUUUUUCGUCGCCAUAUUUUUUCACCAAGUCGAGUCAGUCAAGUCAGUCGAGACAGUUCUGCAGUUUGAAGGCGUGAAUUAGUAUCUGCAGGUUCCGGUGAUUUGGUCAAAUAAAAUUUACCCCGUUUUUACAUUUCAUCCGGCAAAUUUGCGAAUGCAUUUCUUGCAUAUCCAUGACGGCGACGGAUAGAUUCCGUCGGAAAACAACUUUCUCUGAUGGAUCUUCAUAAUGCACAUCAAGUUAGGCUGAAUUGCUACAUCUGUCCGGGUCUGUCAGUUGUUUUGCGGAACUAAUCGAAGCCGACGAAGUGGUGUUUCUGUUUAUUUCUCGCAUUCACCUGAGCUGCUGGGGAAAUGCCGUUGUUUCUGCAUAAAGCCUGCCAGCUUCAAUGAAAAUGCUUCAUGACGUACACAACGGAUAUUCUAUACCCGAUUAGCAGCAUAGCACGGAUUGCUUAUAGACAGAGGCAUGAGAAGAGAGUGGAUUAGACCUGAGAGAUUAGAGGUGUUUCACGGGCUUGAUGCAGAAGAUCGAACAGCCAUCGUGGAACCUUCAUUAGCACCGGUAAAAUAUUGUUUGACUUCACUGGCUUCACAUACCUCAGGCUCAGGUAACGAAGUGCAGUGCUUCUGUAGUUUUCGAAACGGGUGGUGCUGUUAUUAGAUGAACGAUUCCUGCAUGAAAUUAGGAGACACAAACAUUUACAGCUUGAGAUUGUGGCUAAUGUUGAGACAGAGAAUUACUCAUUUUUCGGGCACUUAUGCUUAACCGAUUUACUCACAACA